rnacentral:rRNA from 1 species
AGUGAACGCUGGCGGCGUGCCUAAUACAUGCAAGUCGAACGGAGUGGCGCACGGGUGAGUAAUAUAUAGCUAAUCUGCCUCUUGCUGGAGGACAACAGUUAGAAAUGACUGCUAAUACUCCAUAGCAAGGGAUGAGACUAUAUCGUAUCAGCUAGUCGGUGGGGUAACGGCCUACCGAGGCUAUGACGCGUAACUGGUAUGAGAGGAUGAUCAGUCACAUUGUAACUGAGACACGGUCCAAACACCUUCGGGAGGCAGCAGUAGCCAAUAGUGCGCAAGGGGGGAAACCCUGACGCGUCAACGCCGCGUGGAGGUUGACACUUUUCGGAGCGUAAACUUCUUUUGUUAGGGAAGCGGUACCUAACGAAUAAGCACCGGCUAACUCCGUGCCAGCAGCCGCGGUAAUUC